CCAUAUUUCUCGGCGAGUUUAUGCGGUUUGAGUUUUUGUGGCCUUUGUUGAAUUAAUCGUUUUUAGAAAUAAACUGUUAGUUAAUGAUGGUAGAAUUGGAGCAGGAUUUCAAUUUUUUUGAAGAUUUAUCGACGUGGUCGCAUUUUGAGUCUGUAGUUUUGUAGUUUGAUUUUACCUCUGAUGAAUUAAUUUCUGCUCCAUGUUGUGAUUGUGGGAGUCGUGUAAGUAGUUAUGAUUCACUAUUUUCUUUCUAGGUAGUAUAUAUGGAAUGAAAUUGGUGAAAGCUAUAGUGAUAGAAACAAGAUGCUUAUUCAGCUUGAGCAAGAAUGCCUUGAUAUUUACUGUCAACAGGUUAAACAAACAAGAAAGUACAAGGCUGACUUGUACCAGUCAUUAAGUGAUGCAGUAGCUGAAAUCGCUAAUAUUAUAUCUAGCCUUGGGGAAGUGUGCCUCAUUUUCACAGUCGAAACAAUGGGAGAAAUGAAAGCAGUGGCAAAAAAUAUGCAUCAAGGGAAGGCAGAGAUGGCUAGGCCCUCAGAUGCUUUUAUCACUGAAGUUCAUAAACAAAAGAAGAGCCAAGUCCUUUUGUAGGACAGUGGCAAGGUAAUGCUGCCUCUUUCAUGCAAUACAAUGAACAUCGCAACCAAGAAACAGAAUGAAAAUGGGAUUUUAUGGGUCUUGAAGGCUUGGCUCUGAAGUUGGUUGAAGGUGAUCAGAAAGCAAGGAAUUGGUAGGGGAAGCUAAUUCAUUUAGUAAUUUUAUCUGGUAGAUUCAUUUAUAGGACUUUGUUGUUGUAGUGUUCUCUUAUUGUUAGUGUUGCAUUGAAUCAAGAACCUAAAAGAAGCAUGGAAGCUGAUAUAGACACAAGGACAUUGGCCAAAUCUAAGGUGCUCAAGUUCUGUUUGAAAUGUUGUAUUGUUUCGAUUCAAAGUGUUUGAACACGUGUGGAUGUGACUUCCUUUUUAAAACUUCUCCUAGCAUAUUUCAUACUUGAUUAUUCUUCUAUAGCCAUAUGUUUUAUGAUUUUACCUCUAGGUGGGAUCAGUACUUUGUGCGAUCAACUUUCAAGAAUUCAUUUUGGAGUAGAUGACAACAAUCCUACUUCAGCAGAAAUUUAUUUUGGAGUGUAUCACUAAUAAGUUAUAAUGUUUACUUAUUUAUGACUUUAUUUUGAGGCUUAAUGUUGUACAUGAUAUAAUUGUUAAGGAUUUGCAAGGUGAAGAUCAACUGUAGACUCUUACAUACUCUGCUAUCUAUCUGAAGAUUCUAUCCAUUUGAGUUUGGAAAAACGCAUAUGGUCAGGACCGAAGAUAAACACCAAACCACUAAAAGUUCAUAUUGGGUUGAGGUUUGUGUUAUAAGAUGAUUAAUUUUUCAAUAGUGCUACGGAGCAAGAAAAACUUGACAUGUGAGACAUUAAACGAGGGUGUUGUCUUUGUCCUGUAAAGGGUAAGCUUUCUUUGGCAUUUGAAAUGUAGGAGAGAAGACCGAUCAUUUUUAUUUGUUCUGUAAUAUUUAUAUUUAACCGCUUUGAAUUUUCUUUUCUAAAAUAAUUCAAGUCUUAUUUUCCUUGCUGAUAAUAUUUUGCCUUCUUUUGACUACGACAGUGAGUGCGUUAAUUUUUUUUAAUCAAGUUUAGGCUACAAUGGAGAAUGAUAUAACUCGCUAAAAAAUCAAUGCUAAGGAGGAAAGCUUUAUUAUUUUAAAUGGAUUAUGUCGUUUCUUGUAUAGUCAGCAUUGACCCUGUUCUAUUAACGCACAUUGAUGGACACGUGUUUGAGUCUGCAUAGUUGAGCUUUUGCUAGAUACCUGAUUUGUGGUUUAAACAAGUGCUUGAUAUGCAUGCCUACAAGGCACGACAUAGAGAAUAUGCUUUGAAGGGUCAUAAACAUUUCUACUUCAUGACCUCUCAGGCAGUGAGUUAUGAAUUUAACCUAUGCAUGCUGUCUUCAAUUCUAAUGGAAUGAAUUUUGUUGGUUUUACUGCUGUUGAUCGAGUAGUUUCACUGGGUACAAAGAUAUAUUUUUUGGAUUUCAUAAAUAUGAUUUUUUAAUUGUUCUGUGAGUUUUUUAACUUCUGCUUUUUAUUUGAGUUUCUAUAUUAUAAGUGACUGAUACAAGUGCCAAAUGAAACUUGGGGCGUUUUAUUAAAUUGUUAUGUGCUAUUACCGUCAUGCAGUUUUCCUUUAAAUUGUUAUGCACAAGUACUUGUUGCAGAAAGUUGUUGAUGUGUGUAUUAGUUGUUAUGUACCAUUACCGUCAUACAAUUUUCUAGAAACUCAUUCCUAUUCAGAUCUUUCAUUAAAUUACGAUCUUCGUAUACGCCACAUAUUUAGAACAAUCAUAGAAAUUUAUAGAUUGUCCAAAUCAAGGCCUCAUUGUUCCAUAUUCCACAGUCCAGUUUCUCAAAGAUUAAAAUAUUCUACAUGAAAAUGGCUCUGACUUUCAAACGUAGUGCUUAAAUUUUUGUGAUUAGUAUGUCCACUUAAGGUCCAUAGUAUUAUGUAUAUGCAUCUUAUUUUAGGAGUGAUAGACAGUAGGAUUUGUGUUGAUUUCCUGCUAUGAUUUUGAAAUUGUUUUCAUUUAAAAUACUUUUGUCAUAUUGUUGGUUCAUUCUAUGCUAUAUUAUAAAUUUUGUGCUAUGAUUUCAAAAAUAAAUAAUCAGAACAAAGUGUUGUUGAUUAUUUACGAGGAAGCAGAGAUGUUGUCAUUGUUUGUGACUUCAUUUUAAUUUUUUAAUUAAAAGGGUCAAUUUGUCCGAAUAUUUAUCUACUGUCAAUAAGCAAGCAGAUAAUUAUACUCAUUCACACAGGCACCAAACAUAUCAUUUCCUCCAAGUAGACUGCCUAUUUUGCCUUCUCUUAUAUAGAACCUAUUGUGCUUUUCCACCGAUAUUUCAUUGAAUUUUCAGAAAGUUAUUAUGCCAAAUUUUAUAAAUGGACUAACGCAUAAUGCUGAAUCUGUAACAAUGACUACCUUUUGCCAUACAAGGUUAUCAUGCUGUAAAAUUCAAUGAAAGAUCUUCAUUUUGAAAUCAUGUGUGACGCCGUUGCCUGUGAUAUGUUCAUACCAAUGAGUCAAUAUUCUAUAGGAUUAUAAUUAUAAGGUUAAAAAAUAAAAAAAGAAAUAUUGCCUGUUUCUUUUGUUCUUGCAGCUGUAUAGGAAAAUCUUAAGAGGUGGCUUCAAUGUAGAUAUCAGGCUGAAGAAGCUAGGAUCCCAGAGUCUUCAACAUUUUUGUUAAUACAAACCAAUAAAGUCGAAAGAAUUAGAGAAUUUUUUGACUUAAUCAUCAGAUAACCUCGAAGACCCAUUCUGUAAUUUUCUUUAGGGUACCCUAAAAGCAAACUUACAUAUGUUUUUGGUACAUUUUUAUUUUGUGAUAAUCAUGCAUAUCUCCCUUAAAUUUACAGCUGUGAAGUCAAGACAUUUUUUCUGAUGUUAGGUUAUAUUGAUGAGAAACAAAUCGUUAAUUUAUUGUUGGUAUGCAUCCAGAAAGCAAUAUAGUUUAAGUUCAAUUCUCAUUUGAACUUGUGUUUACUUAUAAUAGAGUAUUUGUAACUAGAAUGCUUGUGGUUAUCAAUCUCAUUUUCAUUGUGUUAUAAGUCUCAACUUUUAAAAAUAGAUUCCUUAACAACAAUGACAAUUGAAAGAAUUGUUCCCGGGACAAGUUACUCUGUCUGACUUUGCUGUAUUAGUAGAUGUUUUAAGGCUAUUAACAUUAUAAGGGCAAUAAAACUCUUUUUAGUUCGCCUACUCUGCCAUGGAAAGCUCUAGCAAGGGUUUGGUAUUCCUUAUGAGCUUCAUGUCAUGCCCAUUAUAAACGCUAUCAAAUGAUUUUGGCUUCCUUUUGGCAUAGAGAGACACAACAGGUAGCUCUGAAAAUGUUGGCUUGCGAAGUAGAAAUAGCAUAAAUAAAUGUUCAAUUUGAAUUUCUCAUUUUUUAUUGAACAUGGCUAAAAAAAAAUUUCUUCACUAUAUCUUGUCAUUAAGCCAGUGUUUUCCUAUCCUGAUUCAUUUAUAUUUACUUAUUCUAGGUUUUUGUAGGGGUUUAAUGGGUGACCAUCAAAAUCAUAGAAUUCUAAUUGUUUUGGAUCUUUUCUAUCCCAACUUUGGUGGUGUGGAGAAACACAUUUGUUAUCUUUCACAACGCCCGCUUAAGUUAGGUCACAAGGUUAUGGACAAAGUUGAAUUUAUGAGUUAAACAUGUUCUUAGAAUCUUCUAACCUUUGGCCAUUGACAUGGCUUUUUUAUAAAUGGUCUUUGCUGCUUGAGAGUGCAAGGAACCAAGGGGAAGUUUGAAGAUUACUAACCUUUAUUCUCAUUAUGGAAGCUAGAAAGAAAGAUGUAGCACCAUGCAGAAUUUGCCAGAGAUUUUUGCUAAUAUAAAAGUGUGUAGAAAGAAGACUAAUUGCAGACGAAAGGAAUAGUUAAAGGCAGAAAAAGAUGAUUCUCUGCAAUUGGAUCAACUAAAGCCAUGAAGAUUAACUCGAAUUCCUCAAAUUCUUUAUAGGGAAUGUGAGCUAUUCUGCAGAAAAUAAUGCAGUCAGCAAGGCAGAAAAAUGGGUUAUGUUAAACUUUUCUGAAGGUUGUGAUUAUGAGAGAUGGGGUUAAGCGUGGAGGACGGAAAGGAGU